rnacentral:rRNA from 1 species
UGAGGAAUAUUGGUCAAUGGUCGCAAGACUGAACCAGCCAUGCCGCGUGCAGGAUGACGGUCCUAUGGAUUGUAAACUGCUUUUGUACGGGAAGAAACACUCCUACGUGUAGGGGCUUGACGGUACCGUAAGAAUAAGGAUCGGCUAACUCCGUGCCAGCAGCGGCGGAA